GUGGGGAAUAUUGCACAAUGGAGGGAACUCUGAUGCAGCAACGCCGCGUGAAGGAAGAAGUAUUUCGGUAUGUAAACUUCUAUCAGUAGGGAAGAAAAGAAUGACGGUACCUAACUAAGAAGAACCGGCUAAAUACGUGCCAGCAGCCGCGGUAAUACGUAUGGUUCAAGCGUUAUCCGGAUUUACUGGGUGUAAAGGGUGAGUAGGCGGUUAUGCAAGUCAUAUGUGAAAUGUCGGGGCUCAACUCCGGCCUGCAUAAGAAACUGUAUAACUAGAGUGCAGGAGAGGCAAGCGGAAUUCCUAGUGUAGCGGUGAAAUGCGUAGAUAUUAGGAAGAACACCGGUGGCGAAGGCGGCUUGCUGGACUGUUACUGACGCUGAGUCACGAAAGCGUGGGGAGCAAACAGGA
rnacentral:rRNA from 1 species